rfam:Camelus ferus unplaced genomic scaffold scaffold2600, whole genome shotgun sequence.
GAGGGUAUAGAUCAGUGGUAGAGUGCCUGCUUGGCAUGCACGAGAUCCUGGGUUCAAUCUCCAGUCUCUCCA